GAUUACAGUCUGAGAGAAAGGUGCUGAGGUCACGGCCCCGACAGUGUGUGUUCCAGGCCAUCCUGAAAUCAGACAGAGGGACAUCAGUCAUCUCUCCACAUAUGGAGACUCCACUGACAAAAACAGGAAUUUUACUGAGCAGAACACAGGAGCUGCUGGAAUACCACUGCCUCUAUCUAUUAAAUCCAAGAUGGAUGUCUAGAGCCCUGCUGCCUGAGUACUUCAUGAAAGUUUCCUUCAUGUGUUACGUGCUCUGUGUUUGGUCUCCACCACCUCCGGAGGGAAAUCUCUGGACUCUUUAGCUGCUAAACGCUCCACUGUGUUCACCAGCUGCUCUCUGACUGAGUCUGCUGCUGUUUGCUGCUGGGAAAAACAAAAUGAAGUGUACUGCUGCAUCAGUAUCGCUGCACACAACAACAAAGGACACAGGCUGUUAUUUGGAGGAAACCAGAGCACCCAGAGGGAAUCCAUUCAAAUACAGGGGAGGAUAUAUGCAAACUCCACCCAGACAGGCCGCGGCCGCUUCACAGGUUUGAUCCCAGAACCUUCUUGUCAUGAGGCAACAGUGCUAAGUGUACAUGGACAGAGCAAGUGAAUGUUGAACAUGCUGACACGUGCUGACCAGAAUAUACUUAAAGUAGCAUACUGUGUACGUAGUUUGUGCACUGUGUGAACUGACGUCAUUAAAAAAAGACCUGUGUGCUCGUCUGUAUUCGCCCCUGACUGGUCUGGACUGUUUAACUGGUGCAGUUUGUUGGUGAAAAGAUGUUUAUCUCAGGACCAUCAGGCAACAUUCAGCGCUGAUGAGGUGCUUUCAAUCCACCUCCAAUAAAGUACUGAGUCAAGACUUUUAGUUUCAACACACACACACACACACACACACACACACACACACACACACACACACACAGAGGAUAAGCUGCAAAUAAACACCAAAAUAAGCGCUGUUGUCAGACAAACAUGUCAGGGAUUUUUGUUUAUGUUUUCAACACACUGAGGAUGCUGGCUGAGCAGCUACACUUGGCAGGACUCUGUUUCCAGGACACUGGACUGAUGGACUGAGGUUAAAACAACACACACACACACACACACACACACACACACACCUGGUGCAGCAGUGCUGCUGACCCAGCUCAUUUACACUCCUGUUAUCGUCAUCAGUACACAGAGGACGAGAUGUCAGCAGCUGUUUACAAAAACAGGGUCAGAGAGAGAGAGAGAGAGAG